GAGUAACCUGCCCUCUGGUGGGGAAUAACAUGCCGAAAGGCAUGUUAAUACCGCAUGGUCUUGUUAUUAUUCGUAGUAAUAAGUAAAGCCUUGUGCGCCAGUCGAGGGGCUCACGACCUAUCAGGUAGUUGGUGGGGUAAUGGCCCACCAAGCCAAAGACGGGUAGCUGGUCUGAGAGGAUGAUCAGCCAGACGGGGACUGAGACACGGCCCCGACUCCUACGGGAGGCAGCAGCAGGGAAUAUUGCGCAAUGGGCGAAAGCCUGACGCAGCGACGCCGCGUGAAGGAUGAAGGCCUUCGGGUUGUAAACUUCUUUUACUGGGGAAGACCAUGACGGUACUCAGUGAAUAAGCAUCGGCUAACUACGUGCCAG
rnacentral:rRNA from 1 species